UGAUGACCUUCGUCACCUUCGCUCGGCGGAAUGGGACCCGCCCGAGCAUAUAGCUAGUUAUCUAGUGCUGCGUGUGCGUACUCCCUUGUCCAAGGAGGGGCGCAGUAAGUUACGGGCCGAGUGCCCAAGGCCCCCAGUGCCUGACGCGGCAUGCAAGAUGUCAGAGGUUGACCCUCAGAUUUCCCAGUUCCUGGCAAAAACGGGCUGGAAACCCAGGAAGGGUUUGGAGUUUUCACUCCAUAAUUGCCAGGACAAGAUUUUGGACACUUUAGGUCCCGUUGCUAAGCUUUAUGAGCUAUUCGAGACGGCUAAG